CGGCAUGCUUUACACAUGCAAGUCGAACGGCAGCGGGGGCUUCGGCCUGCCGGCGAGUGGCGAACGGGUGAGUAAUGCAUCGGAACGUACCUGGUGGUGGGGGAUAGCUCGGCGAAAGCCGGAUUAAUACCGCAUACGCCCUGAGGGGGAAAGCGGGGGACUUCUUCGGGAGCCUCGCGCCAUUGGAGCGGCUGAUGUCGGAUUAGCUAGUAGGUGGGGUAAAGGCUCACCUAGGCAUCGAUCCGUAGCUGGUCUGAGAGGAUGAUCAGCCACACUGGGACUGAGACACGGCCCAGACUCCUACGGGAGGCAGCAGUGGGGAAUUUUGGACAAUGGGGGCAACCCUGAUCCAGCCAUGCCGCGUGAGUGAAGAAGGCCUUCGGGUUGUAAAGCUCUUUCAGUCGGGAAGAAACGGGCUCUUCUAACAGGGGGUUACUGC
rnacentral:rRNA from 1 species